GAGUUUGAUCGUGGCUCAGGACGAACGCUGGCGGCGUGCCUAAUACAUGCAAGUCGAACGAACGGAUAAAGAGCUUGCUCUUUUGAAGUUAGUGGCGGACGGGUGAGUAACACGUGGGUAACCUGCCUCACAGCUGGGGAUAACAUCGAGAAAUCGAUGCUAAUACCGAAUGUGCUGAACAUCAUAAGAUGUUCAAGUGAAAGACGGUUUCGGCUGUCACUGUGAGAUGGACCCGCGCUGGAUUAGCUAGUUGGUAAGGUAAUGGCUUACCAAGGCGACGAUCCAUAGCCGACCUGAGAGGGUGAUCGGCCACAUUGGGACUGAGACACGGCCAAACUCCUACGGGAGCAGCAGUAGGAAUCUUGGCAAUGGACGAAAGUCUAGACCGAGCAA
rnacentral:rRNA from 1 species